GAGAGGCCAAAAGCAAUAGGGACUGCUAAUCCCUGCCCCCAUGGUUAA
rnacentral:tRNA from 1 species